UUUGGCAUUAUGUUUCCUUGUUGGUUUUUGUCAGGAGUCAGGUGUAAGUCCAUGUAUUGGCAUUCUGUUUCCUGUUGUGUGUUUCUUUUGACGUCUCAGCGUCUCUUUUCGGUGUUUUGUUUUGGUGUGCAUUAGCCGAGCUACGAGUGCUCUGAUUCUUACUCUGGAUAGAGAAGAUACGUAGGCAUAAGAUGCGAUGUCCUAGCGAGCAUGUUCC
rnacentral:lncRNA from 1 species